rnacentral:rRNA from 1 species
CAUGAAGUCGGAAUUGCUAGUAAUCGCGGAUCAGCAUGCCGCGGUGAGUACGUUCCCGGGCCUUGUACACACCGCCCGUCACACCAUGGGAGCCGGUAAUACCCGAAGUCAGUAGUCCAACCACGUGAGGACGCUGCCGAAGGUAGGAUUGGCGACUGGGGUGAAGUCGUAACAAGGUAAC